rnacentral:rRNA from 1 species
GUGGCGCACGGGCGAGUAACACGUGGGUAACCUACCCUCUGGCGCGGGACAACAGCUCGAAAGGGCUGCUAAUACCGCAUAAGUCGGUGACGGCCUUGGCUGUUACCGGGAAAGGAUGGCCUCUUCUAUGCUAUCGCCGGAGGAUGGGCUCGCGGCCCAUCAGCUUGAUGGUGAGGUAAUGGCUCACCAUGGCUAAGACGGGUAGCUGGUCUGAGAGGAUGAUCAGCCACACUGGGACUGAGACACGGCCCAGACUCCUACGGGAGGCAGCAGUGGGGAAUAUUGGACAAUGGGCGAAAGCCUGAUCCAGCCACGCCGCGUGUGUGAUGAAGGUCUUCGGAUCGUAAAGCACUGUGGAGAGGGACGAAACGCAGAAGGAACAAUACCCUUUUGAAUUGACGGUACCUCUUUAGCAAGCACCGGCUAACUCCGUGCCAGCAGCCGCGGUAAUACGGAGGGUGCAAACGUUGCUCGGAAUCAUUGGGCGUAAAGCGCGUGUAGGCGGCAAGAUAAGUUGAGUGUGAAAGCCCUGGGCUUAACCCAGGAAGUGCGCUCAAAACUGUCUAGCUAGAGUACGGGAGAGGGUAGCGGAAUUCCCGGUGUAGAGGUGAAAUUCGUAGAUAUCGGGAGGAACCACCAGUGGCGAAGGCGGCUACCUGGACCGAUACUGACGCUGAGACGCGAAAGCGUGGGUAGCAAACAGGAUUAGAUACCCUGGUAGUCACGC